rnacentral:rRNA from 1 species
AACAAUGAGAAUGGUGCACCUGGGUACGGUAAUUUAUUUACUGUUUUUUCAGUGUUUCAGCCCACCGAUUGGUGGGUGGACACAGGUGCAGGUGUACAUGUGUGUGCUGACAUGUCAUUGUUCACUUCUUACCAGGUCACAGGCCACGGGUCCGUAUUGAUGGGGAAUGGCGCGAGUGCUUCUGUUCAUGGUGUUGGCACGGUCGAUCUGAAGUUUACUUCGGGAAGGAUCGUGCAGCUGAAGAACGUGCAGCAUGUCCCCGCCAUCAAGAAGAACCUCGUUAGUGGCUCCCUUCUAUGUAGAGAAGGGUUUAAGUUGGUUUUCGAGUCUAAUAAAUUAGUUGUUACGAAAUAUGGACUCUUUGUUGGAAAAGGUUAUGAGAGCGGAGGGAUGUUCCGCCUUUCCCUCACAGAUUUUUGUAAUAAAGUCGUGAACCAUGUUCAUUCGAAUGUUAAUGAAUCUGAGGUUUGGCAUUCACGUCUUUGUCACAUUAGUUUCGGUGUUAUGACGCGGCUAGCCAAGUUGGAUUUAAUCCCGAGUUUUACUUUAGCCAAAGGCUCUAAGUGCCUUUCAUGUGUGCAAGCUAAGCAACCUCGCAAGCCUCACAAGGCCGCGGAGGAGAGACACUUGGCACCAUUAGAACUCAUACAUUCUGAUCUUUGUGAGAUGAAUGGUGUGUUGACUAAAGGUGGAAAGAAAUACUUCAUGACAUUGAUAGAUGAUUCCUCUAGAUAUUUCUAUGUGUACCUGUUAAAUACUAAAGAUGAGGCUCUACACUACUUUAAAAUCUAUAAGGCAGAAGUUGAGAAUCAACUUGAAAAGAAAAUUAAACGAGUCCGGUCAGAUCGUGGUGGAGAGUACUUCUCGAGUGAGUUUGAUUCCUUCUGUGCGGAACACGGCAUUAUUCAUGAGAGGACGCCUCCCUAUUCACCCCAGUCAAACGGGGUUGCCGAGCGGAAAAACCGUACUCUAACUGAUUUGGUUAACGCCAUGUUAGAUACAUCGGGUUUAUCCAAGGCAUGGUGGGGGGAGGCUAUAUUGACGGCAUGUCAUGUCCUGAAUAAAGUUCCGACAAAGGAUGAUGAGAUCACUCCCUAUGAGAAAUGGGCAAAGAGGAGGACAACACUCUCGUACUUGCGCACUUGGGGCUGUCUGGCGAAAGUCAAUGUGCCGAUCCCCAAAAAGCGUAAGCUUGGACCCAAGACUGUGGACUGCGUUAAUUUGGGCUACGCUAAGAACAGCGUUGGCUAUAGAUUUCUAGUAGUGAAAUCUGAGGUACCUGACCAGAAGGUCGGUACAAUUAUGGAGUCUAAGGAUGCUACAUUCUUCGAGGAUACUUUUCCUAUGAGAGAUAUGCAAAGCACUUCUAGACAGGAAUCUGAGGAGACUCCUGAACCUGCCAUCCCUAUGGAAUAUUAUGAACAAACACAUGAUGAAAAUCCUGAGGAGGAUGACGAGGAAACCCUUGGUAGGGGCAAGAGACAAAGGACUGCAAAGACCUUUGGUGAUGAUUUCUUCGUGUACCUCGUGGAUGAUACUCCCACUUCUAUUUCAGAAGCGUAUGCCUCCUCAGAAGCUGACUACUGGAAGGAUGCGGUCCGUAAUGAGAUGGAUUCCAUCAUGGCUAACGGGACAUGGGAGAUCACUGAACGUCCCUAUGGUUGCAAAACAUUAGGAUGUAAGUGGGUGUUCAAGAAGAAGCUUAGGCCUGAUGGUACAAUUGAAAAGUACAAGGCUAGGCUUGUGGCCAAGGGCUAUGACCAGAAAGAAGAGGAAGAUUACUUCGACACUUAUUCACCUGUAGCUAGACUGACCACCAUUCGAGUAUUACUCUCGUUGGCAGCCUCGCAUGGUCUUCUCGUCCACCAGAUGGAUGUUAAGACGGCUUUUCUGAAUGGAGAGCUAAAAGAGGAAAUCUACAUGCAACAGCCAGAUGGCUUUGUGAUAGAUGGUCAGGAAAGAAAGGUGUGUAGGUUGCUGAAAUCUUUAUAUGGCCUGAAGCAAGCACCUAAGCAAUGGCAUGAUAAGUUUAAUACAACUCUGACAUCUGUUGGUUUCGUUGUUAAUGAGGCUGACAAAUGUGUAUACUAUCGCCAUGGUGGGGGUGAAGGAGUUAUACUGUGCUUGUAUGUUGAUGACAUACUGAUAUUCGGAACCAACCUCAAAGUCAUUGAGGAGGUCAAGUCGUUUUUGUCUCAGAACUUUGAGAUGAAAGACCUUGGUGUGGCUGAUGUUAUCUUGAACAUCAAGCUACUGAGAGAUAAUGAGGGUGGAAUUACACUUCUGCAAUCCCACUAUGUUGAGAAGGUGUUGAGUCGUUUUGGAUAUUCGGAUUGCACACCAUCUCAAACACCAUAUGAUCCUAGCGUGUUGAUUCGAAAGUCCAAAGGCACGGCUAUAGAUCAGUUGAGAUACUCUCAAAUCAUUGGUUCACUGAUGUACCUAGCGAGCGCAACGAGGCCCGACAUCGCGUUUGCUGUGAGCAAACUGAGCCGGUUUGUUUCCAAACCGGGUGAUGUACAUUGGCAUGCUGUUGAACGAGUCAUGCGCUAUCUGAAAGGUACUAUGAACUAUGGACUUCACUAUACCGGAGACCCGUCGGUACUUGAAGGGUAUAGUGAUGCAAAUUGGAUCUCUGAUGCUGAUGAGAUGAAGGCCACAACUGGGUAUAUGUUUACUCUUGGAGGUGGCGCUGUUUCCUGGAAGUCUUGCAAGCAAACGAUCUUAACGAGAUCGACAAUGGAAGCAGAAUUAACGGCAUUAGACACA